UCCGAACGAAUGCAUCGACAGAGAAAAUGACCCCGUUUUUAGAAAUACCCUCGCCACCUACUAGUGAGCUGGAAAGCUUAGGGACUUCGUUGUCCCCCGUUUGACAACCGUAUCUCAGAAUGUUCAGAGGAAUCUCUGGAACCCCUGCCACUAAUAGAUGCUUCAAUACUAAAGAAUGGAGAUAUAUCGUUGGAAAAAAGCAGAAGCAUCUAUUAGUGGUGUUGGAAAAAAGCAAAAGCAUCUAUCGUUGGAACCCCCACCCUUUUC
rnacentral:lncRNA from 1 species